rnacentral:rRNA from 1 species
GACGGAGGGGGCUAGCGUUGUUCGGAAUUACUGGGCGUAAAGAGCGCGUAGGCGGUUUAGUAAGUUGGGAGUGAAAGCCCGGGGCUUAACCUCGGAAUUGCUCUCAAAACUGCUAGGCUAGAGUAUGGUAGGGGAUGGUAGAAUUUCUAGUGUAGAGGUGGAAUUCUUAGAUAUUAGAAGGAAUACCGGUGGCGAAGGCGGCCAUCUGGACCAUUACUGACGCUGAGGCGCGAAAGCGUGGGGAGCAAACAGGAUUAGAAACCCUUGUAGU